rnacentral:rRNA from 1 species
GAUGAACGCUGGCGGCGUGCUUAACACAUGCAAGUCGAACGAAGCACUUUAUUUGAUUUCCUUCGGGACUGAUUAUUUUGUGACUGAGUGGCGGACGGGUGAGUAACGCGUGGGUAACCUGCCUUGUACAGGGGGAUAACAGUUGGAAACGGCUGCUAAUACCGCAUAAGCGCACAGCAUCGCAUGAUGCAGUGUGAAAAACUCCGGUGGUAUAAGAUGGACCCGCGUUGGAUUAGCUAGUUGGUGAGGUAACGGCCCACCAAGGCGACGAUCCAUAGCCGACCUGAGAGGGUGACCGGCCACAUUGGGACUGAGCCACGGCCCAGACUCCUACGGGAGGCAGCAGUGGGGAAUAUUGCACAAUGGGCGAAAGCCUGAUGCAGCGACGCCGCGUGAGCGAAGAAGUAUUUCGGUAUGUAAAGCUCUAUCAGCAGGGAAGAUAAUGACGGUACCUGACUAAGAAGCACCGGCUAACUACGUG